GAUGAAGAACGCAGCGAAAUGCGAUAAGUAAUGUGAAUUGCAGAAUUCAGUGAAUCAUCGAAUCUUUGAACGCACAUUGCGCCCCUUGGUAUUCCGGGGGGCAUGCCUGUUCGAGCGUCAUUUCAACCCUCAAGCUCAGCUUGGUAUUGAGUCCAUGUCAGUAAUGGCAGGCUCUAAAAUCAGUGGCGGCGCCGCUGGGUCCUGAACGUAGUAAUAUCUCUCGUUACAGGUUCUCGGUGUGCUUCUGCCAAAACCCAAAUUUUCUAUGGUUGACCUCGGAUCAGGUAGGGAUACCCGCUGAACUUAAGCAUAUCAAUAAGCGGAGG
rnacentral:misc_RNA from 1 species